AGAGGCCAAACCGGCGGGAAGAAAUUCCUUCCGGGGUUGUGGGACUCCGACAUGGGACUCUGAUGGAUAGCGGAAUGGUCUGGAAAGGCCGGCCGAAGAGGGUGAAAGCCCCGUAUGCGAAAUCUUGAAGAGCUCUAGGAGUAUCCCGAGUACCACGGGACACGUGGAACCCUGUGGGAAUCUGGGUGGACCAUCAUCCAAGCCUAAGUACUACCUACCGACCGAUAGUGAA
rnacentral:rRNA from 1 species